rnacentral:lncRNA from 1 species
CCCCUACAUUCAUCAUGGGAAUGUGUUCCAAGAAGCCACUGGGCAGGGAAAAUAAGAAAUAAGGUAAUGGUCCUGAUCCAGACUCACCAGUGGGAGUAGAGGUUCUCAGCUGACUUGCAGACCUGCAAACAUGAAAACUUUGAGGUUGCAAUUAAAAACCAAACUAAUAUCAACUUAUUGGAAGCUGUCUGUGAACUACGGACAUUGUUUGAUGUGGUGAGCCGUGUUUGUAGACCGCUGCCGCCAUUAGAAGAUGGCGCCGGUCUCCGUUGUGGAUCUUGGUAAACAACUCCUUAUUUGGGAGAGUUGGCGCGCUGUCCCUCAGUACCCAAUGAGAAAACCCCGCGUGGCAGCUUUGGAUUGGACUUGAGUAAGCUUUAUUAGGCUGUGUGGGGGUGCGUGAGGGAGAGAGAGUGCUUGAGAGAAACCUAGAGUUAAGGCCUGAAUAAACCGCUGAAAG